GAUGAACGCUGGCGGCGUGCCUAAUACAUGCAAGUCGAGCGAACGGACGAGAAGCUUGCUUCUCUGAUGCUAGCGGCGGACGGGUGAGUAACACGUGGAUAACCUACCUAUAAGACUGGGAUAACUUCGGGAAACCGGAUCUAAUACCGGAUAAUAUUUUGAACCGCAUGGUUCAAAAGUGAAAGACGGUCUUGCUGUCACUUAUAGAUGGAUCCGCGCUGCAUUGGCUAGUUGGUAAGGUAACGGCUUACCAAGGCAACGAUGCAUAGCCGACCUGAGAGGGUGAUCGGCCACACUGGAACUGAGACACGGUCCAGACUCCUACGGGAGGCAGCAGUCGGGAAUCUGACGCAAUGGGCGAAAGCCUGACGGAGCAGCGCCGAGUGAGUGAUGAAGGUCUUCGGAUCGUAAAACUCUGUUAUGAGGGAAGAACAUAUGUGUAAGUAACUGUGCACAUCUUGACGGUACCUAAUCAGAAAGCCACGGCUAACUACGUG
rnacentral:rRNA from 1 species